CCUACGGGAGGCAGCAGUGAGGAAUAUUGGUCAAUGGGCGAGAGCCUGAACCAGCCAAGUCGCGUGAGGGAGUACUGCCCUAUGGGUUGUAAACCUCUUUUGUCGGGGAGCAAAAGCCGGACGUGUCCGGCUGUGAGAGUACCCGAAGAAAAAGCAUCGGCUAACUCCGUGCCAGCAGCCGCGGUAAUACGGAAGGCCCGAGCGUUAUCCGGAUUCAUUGGGCUUAAAGGGAGCGUAGGCGGGCGUUCAAGUCAGCGGUAAAAUCGCGCGGCUCAACCGCGCCCCGCAGUUGAAACUGGACGCCUUGAGUUCACAACAGGCAGGCGGAAUUCGUGGUGUAGCGGUGAAAUGCAGAGAUAUCACGAGGAACCCCGAUUGCGAAGGCAGCCUGCCGGGGUGCGACUGACGCUGAGGCUCGAAGGUGCGGGUAUCAAACAGGAUUAGAUACCCGUGUAGUC
rnacentral:rRNA from 1 species